rnacentral:rRNA from 1 species
UACGUAGGGGGCGAGCGUUGUCCGAAGUUACUGGGCGUAAAGCGCGCGUAGGCGGUCUCUUAAGUCUGGGUGAAGGUUACAGCGCUCAACGUGAACAGUGCCUUGGAUACUGGGGGACUUGAGUUCGGGAGGGGCAGGUGGAAUUCCUGGGUGGUAGCGGUGAAAUGCGUAGAUAUCAGGAGGAACACCGGUGGCGAAGGCGGCUGCCUGGCC